UAGAUGGGAAAAACAGCAGACUAGGGUUGCAUUUGGUGGGGGUGUGAGUGCCAUGCUGUAGGCUGUGGGACAGUCGGGACAGUGCAAGGUGUUGCUACUGCUAGGUGUGGUUAGGUUUACAGAGAGGGAAGAGCAUGCAUAGUGAUAAUGGAGGUGGUAAAGAAAGGGGGGAGAGAUGGAAGGAUUGGUCAUGCGCAAGGCCGUAGGCCAUUGGAGGCAGCUUAGAAAUCUCUUACAUCUGGAAAAGCCAAAAUUCGUGGGAUUUGGCCUGACAGCCAUGACAGUCAUCGGGGCGGCCGACAACAACUGUCUCCUGUGUUAGCGGCAGCAGUACAUAUGUGUGUGUAUGAAGAAUGAACCGAAAUGGAUGAACACUUUCCAUCUUUGUAAGAUCUCGUUUUGAUAUGUUUUUCUUGUUAGACUUUAAUUUUAAAGGAUUGCCUGUUGUAAUACUGAUGAGUUCAGAUCCAGUGGAGUAAUAAAGGUAUUUGUAUUGUGA